UUCCUUGCCUCCUCUUGCGGGAUCCAAUGGUCUGGACUUUUUCACCCCAGCCCUUUGGUAGGGAUCUUACGUCAUCUGUCUCCGGGCAGACCUGCACCACACAGGUUGGCGCAGGGGUGCGAAGCCGCAAGGAGCGGACCCGGGCGCCCCCUGGCGGGCGUGGUGAAGGGGCGGGGCUGUAAGGCAGCUCACCCCGUGCUGUCCCAGGUCGGAAACCAGUGCCCAAGGCAGCGAGGAGCGUGGCACCGGGAUGCUGCGGGCUGGAGGACCUACUGGGGACUUACCCCGGGCCGGAGAAGUCCACACUGGGACAACCAUCAUGGCGGUGGAGUUUGAUGGGGGCGUCGUGGUGGGAUCUGAUUCCCGGGUGUCUGCAGGAGAGGCGGUGGUAAACCGAGUGUUUGACAAGCUGUCCCCCCUGCAUCAUCGAAUCUACUGUGCGCUCUCUGGCUCAGCCGCUGAUGCUCAGGCCAUAGCGGACAUGGCCGCCUACCAGCUGGAGCUCCAUGGAAUGGAACUGGAAGAACCUCCACUUGUUCUGGCUGCUGCAAACGUGGUGAGGAACAUCAGCUAUAAAUAUCGGGAGGACCUAUCUGCACAUCUCAUGGUAGCCGGCUGGGACCAACGUGAAGGGGGCCAGGUAUAUGGAACCAUGGGAGGAAUGCUGAUUCGACAGCCCUUUGCCAUCGGUGGCUCUGGCAGCACCUACAUCUACGGUUAUGUGGACGCGGCAUAUAAGCCAGGCAUGUCCCCUGAGGAGUGCAGGCGCUUCACCACAAAUGCUAUUGCUCUGGCCAUGAACCGGGAUGGCUCUAGCGGGGGUGUCAUCUAUCUGGUCACCAUUACAGCUGCUGGUGUGGACCAUCGAGUAAUCUUGGGCAAUGAGCUGCCAAAAUUCUAUGACGAGUGACUCUUCCUCAGACCUCCCUGCUGUAUUUUGUAAUAAACGUUCUGGGCCCGGAACCUGCUUGCAAACAUCUUUCCCAGAGGAAAGUGCAUCGGGAGGAUGCUGGAACUAGGAAGAACCCUAUACGUGACAGGCCAUCAUGUUUUGAGUGAUUUUGAAAUAUUAAAAAUGAUAUAAAGUCUCA